UCGUCAUGUAGAGCCGUCUGCCGCAGAUAAACAGAACAAGUCGCUAACAGCCAACACAACUGUCAGUUUCCAGUUGCUCAGGAGAUGAUAAUCCUCUCCUCGGAAGCAACCCCACCUGAGUGCUGCGGACACCACAAGUGUUCACCUCUCACCUCCCCACCGCACCAGAGGGAGUCUCCGUGUGAGCUUAUGUCUGGAACUCUGCCUGUCUGAAAAGGAAUUACGCUGCAGAACCAACAUUAGAGGGGUCGGGAGGUGCAGGUGUCUAUUUCCAGCUAGCGUUCCGGGUGAGAGGCGGGGUCACCUGGACAGGUCGCCAGUUUGUCGCAGGGCAACACAGAGACA